AUUGAACGCUGGCAGCAUGCUUUACACAUGCAAGUCGUACGGUAACAUGCCUUCGGGUGCUGACGAGUGGCGGACGGGUGAGUAAUGCAUCGGAACGUUCCCAGUGGUGGGGGAUAACGCAGCGAAAGCUGUGCUAAUACCGCAUGUGAUCUGAGGAUGAAACCGGUGGACCCGGCAGCAAUGUUUGGCCUCGCGCCUCAGGAGCGUCCUAUGUCCGAUUAGGUAGUUGGUGGGGUAACGGCCCACCAAGCCGACGAUCGGUAGCCGGCCUGAGAGGGCGGACGGCCACAAGGGGACUGAGAUACGGCCCUUACUCCUACGGGAGGCAGCAGUGGGGAAUAUUGGACAAUGGGGGCAACCCUGAUCCAGCAAUUCGGUGUGAACGAUGAAGGUUUUCGGAUUGUAAAGUGCUUUCAGCAGGGAAGAAAAAAAUGACGGUACCUGCAGAAGAAGCGACGGCUAAAUACGUG
rnacentral:rRNA from 1 species